rnacentral:rRNA from 1 species
UACGUAGGGUGCGAGCGUUAAUCGGAAUUACUGGGCGUAAAGCGUGCGCAGGCGGUUCUGCACGUCAGCUGUGAAAGCCCCGGGCUUAACCUGGGAACUGCGGUUGAAACUACAGGACUAGAAUCUGGCAGAGGGGGGUGGAAUUCCACGUGUAGCAGUGAAAUGCGUAGAGAUGUGGAGGAACACCGAUGGCGAAGGCAGCCCCCUGGGCUGAGAUUGACGCUCAGGCACGAAAGCGUGGGGAGCAAACAGG